GCUGCCAUCCGAAAGGAGCUCAAUGAAUUCAAAAGCACUGAGAUGGAAGUUCAUGAAUUGAGUAGACACUUAACAAGGUUUCACCGACCUUAACAGUCGAAUUCCUCUUGAGUGCUAUGCUGUCUUCAAAACAUAAAUUUAUAAGAACCAUAAGUGCUGGUAUUUAUUCACUUCCCCAUUAUGAUGUAAAUCUUCUGAACUGCCUUUUUUUUUUAAAGAAGAAAAAUCAAGGAAACACAAUCAGGAUUUUAUGUGUGAAAACGCAAAAGUGAUGGCUCGGUGGUCCGAGCUGCUGGUCCCACUUCUGACACCAAAAUGCAUCCCAAACCCCAGCAGUGCCAAGGGCACCGGCAGGGCCCUGACUGAAGACUUUCCAGCAGGUGGAAUGGUCCUUGUUCUCUCCAGCCAGGCCCAGCAGGCACUGCCUUCAUGAAGUCUCCAGCAAACUUCUUCCUCACAAGUGUCUGUCACCUGAGUCCAAAGAAAGCUGAAGGGGUGGGUUUGUUUUGGGGGGUACUGUGCAAAGCUAAUGAUCUGGUUGGACUCCUACACUUGGCCAAAUGUGCUGGCUCCAGACAUGACAUCUGGUUUGGGGGCCCUUUGAAGUUGAUGCCAAGAAGGAGGGAGCACUUCUCAGUUGUCCCUGGCUUUUCAGUCCGUUCAGCCACCACCCACACAGUGAACAAAAGGGAAGGGCCCGUUUCUGGGGGAGUCUGGCUGCCUCUUGGCUACGAAGGCUGGCACUGAGCACCCAUCCUGCCCCCUCUGCCUGAGCUGAGCUGCCUUUUGGGAAGCUCUGGUUUAGAAGGGGAAAGUUGUCAUCUGCUCAGUUCAAAUAAUCAACCCAUCUGUGUUCAGA